rnacentral:misc_RNA from 1 species
AUUUCAAAUUAAAUCAGAAUUAUACAUGAAGGACUAAGUAUUAAUUUUAGUGCAAACUUUUCCAGAUUGUACAUACAAGUUAAAGGUCCAAAGCAAAAGGGAAACAGAGAAUAUGAAAUGGGUCUUUCUCAUUUUCAAUGACAAAGCAUCAAUCAUUUUUACUCCCAAAAUCCCACUUUCUUUUUUUGUUUCAAUUAGAAGCCAAAUUACCCAAAAUCACACAACCUAAAUUUCUCCAUUUAACAAGUCCCACAAACUUUUAUGCCCUUUUCUUCUACCCAACUACCGACUGUGUUUCUUGUAUCAACCAAAUCACAAGCAAAAAACCCUUACUUUAGGGUACUAAAUGCAGAUGUCCCUCUUCUUGUACACCCAUAUACUGUAUCAGAAUAUAUUUACCCUAACUUAGAAGGACAGUCUUCCA